UUUUUUUUUUUUUUUUUUUGUCAUUUCUUGGGCUGCUCUCAUGGCAUAUGGAGGUUCCCAGGCUAGGGGUCAAAUCGGAGCUACAGCUGCCGGCCUACGCCACAGCCACAGCAAUGCCAGAUCCGAGCCUUGUCUGCUCCUUACACCACAGCUCAUGGCAACAGAGGCCAGGGAUUGAACGCACAUCCUAAUGGAUCCUAGUUGGAUUCAUUUCUGCUGUGCCACGAUGGGAACUCCCCUUCCUUUGUAUUUUAAAGAACAGUGUCUAAAGUAGGUCCCAUCCUUUUGUUAUUCUCAACCACAGUUCCAACGGUUGAGUGUCUCCUGGGAUAUGCAUGCUCUGUUCCAUUUCUUUCUUUUUUUAAACAGACCCAGAGUCCCAGAAGAAGUUAGAUGUUGUGCUUACAAACUGCAUACACAUGGGCAUCAUGGAAGUGCAAAACUCCAAUAAAGAAAUAAGCACAUGGUUUCUUAGUUCAUUUUUUAUGUUAAUGAUGAAAGUGCAGGUAAGAAAAUAAGAACUAGCCUUAAGGACAUAUAAGUGAUGGAAAGAGAAGGAAAAUUCUAGGUGGAGCCCAGAGAAGUUAUCAUUCUCUUCCUAUCAACAUUGGGUGGAUGUGCAGGCCCCUUGCUUUAUAGCAGCAGAACAAAAUAAAAUGACUGAUGAUCAAAGAAACUCACAGAUGCCUACAGAAUUAAAUUAUCAACCCACUUUGACAUUUUGCAAGUAUAAAUAGAAACAGAAAUAACUAGAGGUGUAGAAAUAGUUGAAGAAGCCCCUCAACAUUAAAUUCUAAACUUCAAAUUUGAAACACCUAGAGAUUGGGGUUUCUCUGUAAUCUAUAAAUCAGCCUUGAUUCAAAGAAAUAGCCAGGCUGGCAUGGGGGAGCAACUUUAGAUCUGGCCAGCACAGGACCUGGGGAGGCUCAGUAGAGACCCACUAUCUGUUAAUAAGGAAGAAGACCCAAAACAGAGCCAGGACAAAUAAUUCUGUCAUUUUAAUGUCAAAAGUGUCCAACCAUUCUUUAUUGUGAAAAGGAUACAUAAUUAAGCUGUAUCUUUAUAUUAUUAUUUUUUUUUUACUAUUUGGCAUAUUAUUCAUUCCCAGUGAUGUUUCAUUUCUCCUCAAAUGAUUCUUUUGCAACCUUUAGAAAGCCCUGCAAUUUCCUUUUCAUUUGGCCGAACGUGGCAGACACAGGAGGGAGAGCUUCUAAAUCCUGUUGCUCAGAAUAUGGCUUUUUUUUUUUUUUUUUUUUUUGUCUUUUCAGGGUCGCACCCACUGCAAAUGGAGGUUCCCAGGCUAGGGGUCUAAUCGAAGCUACAGCUGCCAGCCUACACCAGAGCCACAGCAACGCCAGAUCUGAGCCACGUCUGUGACCUAUAGCACAGCUCAUGGCAAUGCCUGAUCCUUAACCCACUGAGUAAGGCCAGGAAUCGAACUCAAAACCUCGUGGUUCCUCGUGGUUUCUGCUGCGCCACAACGGGAACUCCCAGAAUAUGUUUAAAAAAAAAAAAAAAAGCAGGACCCCAGACAGGUGUGUAACUGUUUGAAUGGGCUAUCUCUUAUACAACUAGGAAUAAGACCUACUUGGAAGAAGUUUUGCUCUAGAAACUGUUGAUGCUCUUGACUUAUUGAGGGGAGUUCCAUAAAAUGGCCAUUACCAACUGUAUAAGACAAAACUCGUGUUAGCUCAAAGGUUAGUCCCUGUUUUAAAAUCCCAAAAAAGAUAAACCCUAUUAUGGGCCAUUUCCACUUUCCCCACUGCUUCCCUGACAAGAGGUAAUGUGGGUCUGAGGAGGAAACUGAAGAUUCAUGGCCCAAAUAGAGCAGAAGUCUUGUCUUGUGUAACUGCCCAAAUGCUAAUACAAACUCAUUGUUGCUCAAUUUGUUCUUUAAAAGCUGUGCUUUAUUCUAUUAACUUUGAUUUGCCCUCUUAGCUUCUGUCAUUUUUCCAUACUGGACUGUCCUGGCAAUCCUCCUCACCUUUCUGUCUGGGUUUCAGUCUCUGACAGGGGCUCUGUGCCUAGGUCUCCCUGCCAGGAUCCAUCUGGCCCAUCGGUAACUAACAGUCAUCUUAGCCUUGUCCAGUGGUGAUAGCUUCACCCGUAGAUUUAACUGAGACAAAACUGAACAACUUACCAUAAAUAUCGGAGUCAAGAAAAAAUUAUUAGGAGACUAGGCGUACAUAAGUUUAGAUAAAAACAGAGAAGGCAGGACGACAGUGUGGUCCAAGUAAUUUUCUCUGUGCAAAGAUGCCUUCUAUUUAGUAUAACUAAACACAUUACUUCUGGGGAAAAAAAAAAACAACAACAAAAAUUCACACUCCAAAAAAGGGAGAAAAACUAGUAUUGAGAGCAAUUAUGAGUAUGACUUAAAAUGUCACUUUUUAUCUGUUGUACAGGAGAGUAAAUAUCAUGAAAACUUAACCAUGAUAAGGAAAAAAAAAACACUUAACCAUGAUGAAAUAUUUGUCAAACAGUAUUUGUUCCUAUAUUAAGAAAUUAAUACCCACAUGCACAACUUUGAGUUGAUAGAAACUAAAAACUUAAGGUAAUAGAAUUAAGGAUUUCAUUUUCCUUUUUAGAGUUUUAUAUAUUUUUCAAAUUUUUUGGAAAGGCGUUUUGGAAAUAGAAAAAAAAAAAA
rnacentral:lncRNA from 1 species